rfam:Morus notabilis contig6661, whole genome shotgun sequence.
CUUUAUGAUGAUACAUGCACUGGGCUCUGAUCAGUUUAAUAUUCUGCUUAUUGAUGGAAAUGCAGCCUAGAAAGCUUUAUCUGAACC